GCUCCCUUCGUCUAGAGGCCUAGGACGGAGCCCUCUCAAGGCUUAAACACCGGUUCGAAUCCGGUAGGGAGCGCCA
rnacentral:tRNA from 1 species